CAAAGUAUAGUUUAUAAAAAUAAUAAUUUUGGAGAUUAUAGAUAUAUAUAUGUAUAUUAUUUUGA
rnacentral:tRNA from 1 species